rnacentral:rRNA from 1 species
GAUGAACGCUGGCGGCGUGCCUAACACAUGCAAGUCGAACGGAGAUUACGGACGGAAGUUUUCGGAUGGAAGACUGUAAUUCUUAGUGGCGGACGGGUGAGUAACGCGUGGGCAACCUGCCCUAUACAGGGGGAUAGCAGCUGGAAACGGCUGGUAAGACCGCAUAAGUCGGCGAGACCGCAUGGUUUUGCCGGGAAAUGAGCAAUCAGGUAUAGGAUGGGCCCGCGUCCGAUUAGCCAGUUGGCAGGGUAAAAGCCUACCAAAGCAACGAUCGGUAGCCGGACUGAGAGGUCGGACGGCCACAUUGGGACUGAGACACGGCCCAAACUCCUACGGGAGGCAGCAGUGGGGGAUAUUGCACAAUGGAGGAAACUCUGAUGCAGCGACGCCGCGUGAGUGAAGAAGUAUUUCGGUAUGUAAAGCUCUAUCAGCAGGGAAGAUGAUGACGGUACCUGACUAAGAAGCCCCGGCUAACUACAUG